AUUGAACGCUGGCGGCAUGCUUUACACAUGCAAGUCGAACGGUAACAGGGUGCUUGCACCGCUGACGAGUGGCGAACGGGUGAGUAAUGCGUCGGAACGUGCCGAGUAGUGGGGGAUAACGCAGCGAAAGUUGUGCUAAUACCGCAUACGUACUGAGGUAGAAAGUGGGGGACCUUCGGGCCUCACGCUAUUCGAGCGGCCGACGUCUGAUUAGCUAGUAGGUGAGGUAAAGGCUCACCUAGGCGACGAUCAGUAGCGGGUCUGAGAGGAUGAUCCGCCACACUGGGACUGAGACACGGCCCAGACUCCUACGGGAGGCAGCAGUGGGGAAUUUUGGACAAUGGGCGAAAGCCUGAUCCAGCCAUGCCGCGUGUCUGAAGAAGGCCUUCGGGUUGUAAAGGACUUUUGUCAGGGAGGAAAUCCCUAGUGCUAAUAACACUGGGGGAUGACAGUACCUGAAGAAUAAGCACCGGCUAACUACGUGCCAGCCGCCGCCGUAA
rnacentral:rRNA from 1 species